UGGAUGGGGAUCUAAUGUCCUUGCCAGAAUCUAACUCAGUGCAGGAAGAAGACACAGAUGUUGAGAUGCACUGGACUGAUGUUCAGAAGAAGGAAGUUGUAACUGGACCCUUCCAUCUACAUCUUGGUGCUCAUGCAGGGAUCACGUGGGAUGGGAUUCUCACAGAUGUAGGUGGGACACAAAACUUAGAGUAGUGCAGGGGGAGGAUAUCCAUGCUCAGUUGCAAGCCUUGGAUCAUUCCUCAUUACCAUCAGUGCUUGGUAUGUUCUUAUGCCUGUUUUCCUCUUUUGAUUCCAAGCUUCCUUUUCCUAUUAUAAAGUCUUUUUUUUCUCCCCUCCUUAAAAAAAAAAAAGAAAAAGAAAAGCUGCUGUUAGGAUUAUGUCCUAUUACUUAAAGUGCUUGUUCUGCUCCAUGUACACAUAAAUUUAAUUAUAUUGGCCAUAUGAAAGAUGCAUGAAGGUUCAGUUUUGGGAGGUAUGCCAAAGAUAGCUCCUGAACGUGUGGCUGUUUGAUGUAGGCUUGUGCGUAGUAAUUGAAUUACUGAUCAAGCACUCUAUCAAUGAAAUAAUCUUGGUAAAUUCCGUGUACUUAAGUAACUAUAGCCUCGAGGCUGUGGUAAGUGGAGUAACCUUGUUAUUGAUUUUGUUGUUGAUUAUUCAUAUCUUAUACUUUCUAAUAGGAGCACCCUUUUCUGUGUUCCUAUUAAACGCAGCGGUUCCUGCGUCCUUCAGAAGUGAGAUUUAUCUUCCAAUCACUUGCAAAGGACUUUUGUAACUGCUCAUACGAGGGACUUCUCAGAUGUCCUUCUCAUAGCCCCACUACUGCUCAGCCACAGGGAAUCCUGCUGCAGUGCUGCUCUGCUUUAAUGCUCUCUCCUGUGGCCCUUGUGGAAUAGAAAAAGUAGGGCAUUCUCUAAUUCUUCUCACUACUUUCCACACAGAAAGUCCUUGCUCUAAUUCUGUUGUGCUUUUGUAGGAAAGUCAGUUUACGUCUUCUCCAUCGCUUCUUCCAUCUGUCCUUAUCUGCCCUUAUAUCGUGAGGGAGACUGAAGGUUGCUCUCAGGACCCAUCAACUCCAUGAAGCUGAGUCAUGUAUCGUACGCAGUGUGUUGUUGCAAGUUGGAUCUGACGUGCUCCUUGAGCAGCUGUAGUCCCUGGUGGCGUGUUGCAGUAAUUUCUUUAUGUGUUCAGGAGGUGUUCCAGUGAAACUGAACCUCUGCAUCAUGCUCAAGAGAGCAGCACAAGGAUGGCAGAAAACAGCUGUGUGAGGCUGUAGCGUAGAACUGAUCGUAUCACAGGAUGUCUCAUCUUCCUGAACACGGGUGAAGAUCUGAAUCUCAAGUGUCAUUCAGCACCCACCCUCACCCCGCUUCCAGAAACUUAUAGCAGGGAAACAUCCCUAUGUCACACAGUCCUGGAAGGGAGUGGUCAUGCAGCUUCCUCUGAGCCUCUGUUGGCCAUCAGGGAAGGAGAUGAUACAAGAUGUGUGCCCUCUUCAUUGCACCUGUCCUGUUGUUUAGGAGAGAGAUCGCUCCCUCUGCAGAUGCCUCUUAAAAAGGACCUCUUCUCAAAAGGCUUUGAAGAUCUCUAAGCUCCUAACAGGCUGCAUUCUUUUAGUAAAAUGAAAGCAGAAUUCCCUAUUGCCUCCCACCCAGAGGAGAUGAAGGGGAGAUGCCCAUGAAGAUGAACUCUGCCUCCUCUUUGGGAGCAUGGUGAAGGACUGCACAGAGCUGGCACUGCUGGGGCACCCCCUGCACUGGACACAGUUGUGAAUUGAGGAUGAAUAUCACUGAUAAAAUGGAGGUCAACAACUGAACGGCAUCUCGUGGAAAAGAUUCGGAGGCUGCAGGAUCUGCGUGAUGCUGCAUCCAUCUGGGACUGAAAUGGCUCCUGCAAAAAAAAGAAGGUGACCUCAAAACCAAACCUGUCUGAAGGUUUUCGUGGGGCUGGAAUCAGUGGAUGCUGAAGUAGCUCUUAGCUGUGCCAGGAGGCCUCUUAGCGACCAGCACUUAUACAGGCUCACACAUCUCCCACAUCGAAAUCGGCAUUCUUGGAUCCGCUGAGUUUUGAUCCACAGUGAGAUAAGGCCUAAGGGAACUCUCUCUGGAGUGUAUUUCAUUUUGUUCUCUGAAUCAAGAGACGGAGCCCAAAGCAAGACCUGUGGAUAUGAAGAAAUGGGCUCUGAAAGCGCCUGUCCCACACGUCCCUGCUGUUUGAGACACGGUGAAGCCUGUGCUGGUGGCAGUCACAAGAAGAGCUGUCUGUGCUCAGGUGGCUUCCAGGGCUGUCUGUGCUCAGGGAAAGCUGCCCGCCUGCACAGCGGUACCCACCUCUGAAUAGUUUGCUAUUCUGGGCCCUGUGCAAUUUGGAGACUGACAACUUACCUUAACUGUUGGAGCACCAACCACUUCACAGAGCUCUCCCAGGCACUGCAGUCCCUGCUUCCUGCAUGGAAAGCAUCACCGAUACCAAGCAAGUGGAGAGGGCGGCCUUUCAUAGGAUCAUAGCCUUCAGGACUCUGGGGUGCCACAACUCCUGUUUGAAACAUAUAAUUGCUGUGGCAUUCAGUGCAACUGACGACAGGGAAGCUCGAACCUGGCAACUGCUACCUUAAAAAGUAAUAGAAGAAGGAAGCAAAAACCCCUGGGGAAGCUGUGCAUACAUAGCAAAGGAGGAGCAAUGGGCUUGCAUUGGUAAACUGCUCCAUAGGGCACCCAUUCAGUGCUAUAAAGAAGGCAUCCAGGCUGUGUGUUUCCCAGCUCCUGCAGCGGUAGGAUGGACCAUGAGUGUGCAUAGGAAGGUGCGUGAAGGCAGGCUAUGCUUUCCUGGGCCAGUUCUCUCCCUCUGAGGCUGCUCCGUGCAGAGCCAGCAGUGUGUGCAGCACUGACCAACGUGGUAUUUGAGAGCUUGAGAUCUCACCGUCUACCUUCUCUUUCCAAUUGCCCUCCCACUGUUGUUCUACAGCAUGCGGUGCCUUCAGCCGUGGUUCAGCUGCCAAAGAAGGUGGGGGAGUGCUGUGCUCCCCAGCUCCAUGCGGACCGGGAGAGAGGCAGAGAAACAGAGGAGGUGGGUGCUUUUCUGCAGGUAAUGAAAGCGAUCAGCUGGCUGCCCAUGCAGCACAGCCCUCCUGCCCUCCCCAGUCCUGCUCCCUGCCUUGCCAGGAGCGCACUUGGGUAGAAAGGUCUGAAAAAUCAGGACAGCUUCUAUUCUAUGGGAACAAAAGGUUUCCUUUGUUGUAAUUCCUCUGUUGGGCUCUGCACGAGGCCCUCGCAUGGGGCCCUGCAGCACGUGCCCUGCAUCAUGGGGACAAAAGCAGAUUACUGCAGGGAUGCCUGAAAAGGAGCCAUGACUUGUUCCCUUGUUGCUACAAUCUUGUUUACAGGCUGAGCUUCGCAGGGAGCAAUUCACACAGGUUUCUUUUGCAUUAUAAUAGUAAAGAUUUUUCUUGGUGGGAGAAAAAAAAGAGGAGAGAGGGUGAGGUGAGGAUUUAUCACAGAGCCUUGCCUGAAAUGAUUUAGGCUGUUAAGACCAUUUAUGCUGAAGGAAGUGAUCAGUUUCUGCUUCCCAAACGUCGUCUCCCAGUGCCGUGGGCCUGAUUCAGCAGGGCAGCUCCAUGUGAAGAGAAACGAAGUUGAUGAAGUAUUAGGAGGAGAUGACGGCAGCUAAAGGGGAGUUCAGUGGUUGUCCUUCACUUUUGUCUUCUGUCUUUUCAAGCUUAAGGCAGCAACUUCCAAAAUUCUUCGUGAGCCAAUCAGAGCACUGAUGGAGGGAACACCUUCAGCCACUGCACCUUAACAGCCACCUCGAGUGGCCCUGUGCUGGGUUUUUAAUCAUAUGAUGGCUUUUAAUUGAUGCUUUCUGUAAUAAACGAGGGGCUGCUGUGUUUUCACUGGGUUAUUCACUUGCUUCUGUAGUAGCUUUCAGUUGCAUGAUGCACAAACGGAGUGCAGCCUUCAGAAGUGACCCGUGGGACUUGAGGGCUGAUCCACUGCUACUGAAACGGUAGGACCAAAUUCUGCUGCCUGCUGGAUGCUGGGCCUCAAAGCAGGGAUGCAGAGAGGUGUAGAAAGCAGCAGUGCUCCCUGCUGAGCUCCGUGCAUGGGGCUGCUGCUCAUGGCUGGUGGGACAAAGCACUGCAGUGCAGACUGUGCUGCUGAACGCCAACAUAGGCUGAGCACUGGGGGGGCUGCAGCUCCUUUGAGGGCAGGUAGAGGACUUCCAUUUUAUUUUACUUUCCUUUCCCCUUUCCCCUCCUUUCCUUUUUCCUUUCCGUUUUCCUUUCCCCUCCUUUCCUUUUUCCUUAC
ensembl:lncRNA